ACAAGUUCUUAUUGACCACAGCAUACAUUUUUGGAUACUAAUAGAUUUUUUACUCGAAACGAGCAACUACUGACAUUUUUUAGAGCUUACAUCAGUGCCAAAGACAGUGUUGAUUUUGAAAAUUUACAUAUUCCGAAUCGGCAGUUUUCAAAUAUUUUAGAAUUAUUAAUUUUGCGUUUGAUAAAUAUUAUCUGU